GUCCGCCCCCUAUACGUCAUCAUUGAGUAAACUUUGACCCGGAACCUCACAGUCAGCAGACACUUCCUGGGAGGGAGGGUCUGCUGCUGAUUGGGUGGAAUGUGUCUGCUGGCUGUGAGGUUCUGGGUCAAAGUUUACUCAAUGAUGACGUAUAGGGGGCGGAC
rnacentral:miRNA from 1 species